CCCUUAGAUGUUCUGGGCCGCACGCGCGCUACACUGAUGCAUUCAACGAGUCUAAAACCUGCUCUGAUAGGGGUGGGUAAUCUUUUGAAUGUGCAUCGUGAUUGGGAUAGAUGAUUGCAAUUUUUCAUCUUCAACGAGGAAUGCCUAGUAAACGCAAGUCAUCAGCUUGCAUUGAUUACGUCACUGCCCUUUGUACACACCGCCCGUCGCUCCUACCGAUUGAAUGAUCCGAUGAAUAUCAUGGAUUGAGGAUGCAAGUAGGUUCGCCUAUCUUCAUCUUCGAGAAGUGAAGUAAAUCUUAUCAUUUAGAGGAAGGAGAAGUCGUAACA
rnacentral:rRNA from 1 species